CACAGGCUUGUGAGUGUGAAGCCAGGACAUGGGACAGGAAGGGAGUGAAUCAGAGGUGGAGGAGGCUCUGUGUAUGGACAGGAAGCUAUGACUUUCUCUAGCUAUGCACAGGAGAGCUUGAGGCUCAUGAAGUUUUCCUUGCAGAAGCUGUCUAACCAGAGAUGGGCAAGAGUUCUUGGACAAAUGUCCAGAUUUUCACCUCUCAGUGGGACGACUCUGAGAUUGGUGUCCCUUCGAGGAAUCAUCCUCCUCAUCAUCACCGUUAUCCUGGCUGUCACUCUGGCCAUCAGCAAGGACCACCACCAGCAGCAACAAUCACCAUUGUUGUCAAAGUGGAUACUACGGGGCUAGAUCAGUGGUUCUCAAAAUGUAGUUCUGCACCAGAAGCAUUAGAUUCACUUAGCAACUUGUCAGAAAUCAAGCAAGCCCAGUAGGUGGUUGUGAUGUACAAUGAAUCUUGAACACCACUGUGCUAGACUGUGCCAAGGGCUUUUAAUGUUUUAUCUCAUUUGUUCCUCAGAAUUGCUCUCUGUGAUAAGCACCAUUAUAUUCAUUUUGAGAAAAUUGAGACGUAGUGAGGUUAAGUAACUUCACCAAGGUCACACAGCUUGUAAGGGGUAUAACGAGGUCCUGGAACACAUUUGUUUUACUGCACUGUACCACAUUUUCAGCGGGAGCAAAAUUUGUC